UGGUUCAGGACGAACGCUGGCGGCGUGCCUAAUACAUGCAAGUCGAACGAAACUUUCUUACACCGAAUGCUUGCAUUCACCGUAAGAAGUUGAGUGGCGGACGGGUGAGUAACACGUGGGUAACCUGCCUAAAAGAAGGGGAUAACACUUGGAAACAGGUGCUAAUACCGUAUAUCUCUAAGGAUCGCAUGAUCCUUAGAUGAAAGAUGGUUCUGCUAUCGCUUUUAGAUGGACCCGCGGCGUAUUAACUAGUUGGUGGGGUAACGGCCUACCAAGGUGAUGAUACGUAGCCGAACUGAGAGGUUGAUCGGCCACAUUGGGACUGAGACACGGCCCAAACUCCUACGGGAGGCAGCAGUAGGGAAUCUUCCACAAUGGACGCAAGUCUGAUGGAGCAACGCCGCGUGAGUGAAGAAGGUCUUCGGAUCGUAAAACUCUGUUGUUAGAGAAGAACACGAGUGAGAGUAACUGUUCAUUCGAUGACGGUAUCUAACCA
rnacentral:rRNA from 2 species